rnacentral:lncRNA from 1 species
CGCGGGGAGGGGCCGGGCUGCGCCGCGGCGGGCGAGGUGGAAGGCGGAGAGGGAGGAUCGCGGCUGCGGGUUAGGCUUUGAAAGUCAGCCUCGCAGGCAUUGCAGCAGAGCCCCGAGCCGCGGAGAGCAGCGCAGCGGAGCUCGGCUCGCCCCAUCAAGCAUGAAAUUUUUGAGGAAGAAAAUUAAUGCAUCCUUGGACUCCUGAAGGAAGAGCUUUCCUAAUGGAACCACGUUCAAGGAAUUUUAUGUGCUUGGUGGAGAUGGAAAAGGAAGAAAAGCAAGCUGGCCUCCUGAAGAAAGAAGGCAGCAAAUAUUUAAUGGAACUUCUUUUCUGUGAAAGCAUGUUUUGAGUGUUCCUCCUAGACAUCGUCCACAAAUAUCCUAGAUAACAGCUGAUUGCUAUGAUUGGAAACCUGGCUCAUCAAACAGUGUACACUGGGAGAAGCCUGCCUAGGAUAAUAAAUUUUCUUUUGUUUCUGAAAGUCUCUAAGAA